rnacentral:tRNA from 1 species
AUUUAUAUAGUUUAUUAUAAAACGGUAUAUUUUCAUUAUACAGAAAAUAUUAUUUAUAUAUUUAUAAAUA